rfam:Gossypium hirsutum cultivar TM-1 chromosome 9, whole genome shotgun sequence
UGUUAAAAAAAUAUUUUUUUCUACUAUUAAAAACUGGCAUGAUUGACACCAUAACAAAAUAAUGACACGUGAUGUGUCAUGUGUACCUCAUGUUGAUGUACAGUAACUAGUUUUUAACAUUAGAAAUGGAAAAAAUUUUAACA